rnacentral:rRNA from 1 species
UACGUAGGGGGCAAGCGUUGUCCGGAAUCAUUGGGCGUAAAGCGCGUGUAGGCGGUUCGGUAAGUCGGCUGUGAAAGUCCAGGGCUCAACCCUGGGAUGCCGGUCGAUACUGCCGGACUAGAGUUCGGAAGAGGCGAGUGGAAUUCCCGGUGUAGCGGUGAAAUGCGCAGAUAUCGGGAGGAACACCAAUGGCGAAGGCAGCUCGCUGGGACGUUACUGACGCUGAGACGCGAAGCGUGGGAGCAAACAGG